UAGCUCAGUUGGUUAGAGCACCACCUUGACAUGGUGGGGGUCGGUGGUUCGAAUCCA
rnacentral:tRNA from 1 species